AAAGGACGCGAGAGCGAAGGAAGCGAAGCGGCGAGAAAUCCGAAGAGAGAACUAAUUCGCAGCUAUAUAUCUAUAUAUAUAUAUAUAUAUAUAUGUAUUAAAUAUAUGUAAUCGUAAUUUCCGAGCCACUCUCCUUCCGCUCGAGCGGCCCCGACGACACAAGGAGCUCGUAUCAAACCGCUGCGGAUUUCCUCUGAUUUUUCCAAGUCUUUGGAUUUUGACUAGGGUUCGGGUUUUCCUUCGGCACGACUGCUUGAGGGCCUACGUGCCGUUGCGGGAUGGCGGACGGGAGGAUGAAGGCUGUCGCUGAUGAUGAUGAAAGAAGGGAUGGGGACGAUGAGGUCGGGCAUCAGGAUGAUGAUGAGGUUGAAGAAUUUGAGGAGCUGGAGCUUGGGCUUUCUCUGGGGCGUUGGGGAUGCAAUUCAGGGCUGACAAAUGGUGGCAGGGAUGAUGGCGGAGAGCGCGACUGUGUCCUUCCCUUCCGGUGGAGAGGGGCAUCGGGUGCUCAUGGUUUUAUGAGAGGCAGUCAGCUACAAGGCAUUUCAUCGCAAGACAACAAAUUUGAGGACAUGGGGUGAGGAACUGGUGGGUGCGGUAGCUAUUGCCUCAGGUAAGAGAUGUUAGCUUGCCAGAUGAAGCAGUUUUCGAGAUGGAGAGAACUGGAUCAGAUAUAGACAGGGAUACUCAGCUCGAGCGGCCUAAAGUAUUUGCUUCCCCAAACCCAAGCAUGAUGACUUGAAGGGAACAGAUUAAUUCUUUUCUCUCAGAAGAAAUUUCUCAGAAGUCUUCAAGUUUCAGAGGUCCAAUAUGCAUACCCUUCUGUAGCGUAAGACUUCAGGUCCUCAAACCAGAGACUCUUUUGAGUUGCUUCUCUAUUGGCAUUUUCAUGCAUGGCGAACCAACCAGAAAAAUGAAUCAUAUCCCACGAGAAGGAAUUUGUUGUCACCACAAAUUAUUUUUUGCAUCGUCUAUAAGAACUUCUUUUGUUGGAGAAUCGCCGCCAUUUGCAGCUUGAAUUGAGAACAAACUAUAAAGCAACAUUGGCUUGAUUGUUUGAUUUUUGUGCUCGACAAACUCAUGCACUAGUCACUUUCGGCAAUGCUUUGUUUAUAGAGACAUGUUAUUGUGGCAUCUCCCUACGAGAUGCUUAAACUUACAUUAGUUGUGACUAUUGUUCUUAUCUUGCAAUUUCUACAAUGAACAACUUUGCUAUCUAA